CCUACGGGGGGCAGCAGUGAGGAAUAUUCGUCAAUGGACGAGAGUCUGAACCAGCCACGCAGCGUGAAGGAUGACUGCCCUAUGGGUUGUAAACUUCUUUUAUAUGGGAAUAAAAUGUUCCACGUGUGGGAUUUUGUAUGUACCAUAUGAAUAAGGAUCGGCUAACUCCGUGCCAGCAGCCGCGGUAAUACGGAGGAUCCGAGCGUUAGCCGGAUUUAUUUGGUUUAAAGGAAGCGUAGGUGGAUUUUUAAGUCAGUUGUGAAAGUUUGCGGCUCAACCGUAAAAUUGCAGUUGAAACUGGCAGUCUUGAGUACAGUAGAGGUGGGCGGAAUUCGUGGUGUAGCGGUGAAAUGCUUAGAUAUCACGAAGAACUCCGAUUGCGAAGGCAGUUCACUGGACUGCAACUGACACUGAGGCUCGAAAGUGUGGGUAUCAAACAGGAUUAGAUACCCGGGUAGUC
rnacentral:rRNA from 1 species